rnacentral:rRNA from 1 species
UACGUAGGGGGCAAGCGUUGUCCGGAAUUAUUGGGCGUAAAGAGCGCGUAGGCGGUCCGGUAAGUCGGUUGUGAAAGUCGGGGGCUCAACCCUCGGAUGCCGAUCGAUACUGUCGGGCUAGAGUCCGGAAGAGGCGAGUGGAAUUCCUGGUGUAGCGGUGAAAUGCGCAGAUAUCAGGAGGAACACCCGUGGCGAAGGCGGCCCCCUGGGCCGUACCUGACGCUGAGGCGCGAAGGCUAGGGGAGCGAACGGG